ACCUAAUAGAUACCCUGGUAGUCCACGCCCUAAACGAUGCGAACUGGAUGUUGGGUACAUUACGGUACUCAGUGUCGAAAGCUAAACGCGUUAAGUUCGCCGCCUGGGGAGUACGGUCGCAAGACUGAAACUCAAAGGAAUUGACGGGGGCCCGCACAAGCGGUGGAGUAUGUGGUUUAAUUCGAUACAACGCGAAGAACCUUACCUGGCCUUGACAUCUGUCGAAUCCUGCAGAGAUGCGGGAGUGCCGCAAGGAACGACAAGACAGGUGCUGCAUGGCUGUCGUCAGCUCGUGUCGUGAGAUGUUGGGUUAAGUCCCGCAACGAGCGCAACCCUUGUCCCUAGUUGCCAGCACAUCAGUGGGUAGGAA
rnacentral:rRNA from 1 species